AAUCUACGAAUUUAACGUUAUCUUUCCAUCGUUCAUCCUUUCUUCUCCAACACCCGUCGCUCUCUUCUCCAACUCGAAGAUGUCGGCCGCCACCGCCCUGCUUCAUCGAGGCCCAAGACCCGAUCUCUGUUUUUGAUAAAGAAACCAAACAACAACCUAGCAGUCUUCCUUCACUUCUCUGCUUCCGACCUCGUAGCGAAUCAGAUCGGGGGGCUAGGGUUCCGGUGCGCCUCUACAACUGGACGCGAGGCUAGGCUGGGCAUGGAGGGAAUCGUCACGGCCUGAAAGAGGUCCCGGCCGGAGACGACGAACGGGGUUGCAGCCGCCGGGAAGCGCUACAAAGACACAGAGUCAUUUCAAACUGGUCUAUCAAGCAAAUCGAAGCCUUGCACCAAGUUUUUCAGUGUGGACGCCUCUCUGGCCGGUUGCAUAAUCGACAAGGGUGGGGUCAACACUAAGCAGAGUUACAGGCGUCAAGCUAUCCAUCCGCGACCACGAGUCUAACCCCAACCUAAAGAACAUCGAGCUGGAAGGCAAUUUUGACCAGAUCAAGCAAGCCAGCGACUUGUUGCGUGAUCUCAUCGCAACCAUCAGCGCAAGCAUGCCAGCGAAAAAUCCAUCUUCUGCUGUGGCGCCAGCAGGAGGAGGCCAAGGCAGUGGUCCGGGGGGCACGAGCAGCAACUACAAGACAAAGCUGUGCGAGAACUUCUUGAAGCUAUGCGAGAACUUCCAACACGACUAUGUAUGAGAUAUUAUCUCUUAUUAUGACUGGAUGAGAUGUGUCUUAUGGCUAUAGAUGAGACUUUUGUGGUGUAAUUGAUGAGACUAUAGAUUUAAAUGUUGUUAUGUGAUUGUGUGUGAGAUGUUUUAUGUGAAAAUAUGUUGUGAUAUAGUUGUUUAUAUAUUUGUUAUGUUUUGGAAUGUGGUGUAAAAUAAAAAUAAAAAUAUUUUUAA